AACGAACGCUGGCGGCGUGCCUAAUACAUGCAAGUCGCACGAGAAAGUCCUUCGGGAUGAGUAGAGUGGCGCACGGGUGAGUAAUGCAUAGGAACAUACCUUUGGGUGGGGAAUAACCACGGGAAACUGUGGCUAAUACCGCAUGACAUCGAGAGAUCAAAGCAGCCCUCUAUUUAUAAGGUUGCGCCUGAAGAGUGGCCUAUGUCCCAUUAGCUAGUUGGUGAGGUAAUGGCUCACCAAGGCGACGAUGGGUAGCUGGUCUGAGAGGAUGAUCAGCCACACUGGGACUGAGACACGGCCCAGACUCCUACGGGUGGCAG
rnacentral:rRNA from 1 species